rnacentral:tRNA from 1 species
GCCAGAGUGGUGAAAUUGGUAGACACUAGGGUCUUAAACACCCUUGCUGAAUAGGCGUACGGGUUCGAGUCCCGUCUCUGGUA